UACAGAGGUCUCAAGCGUUGUUCGGAUUCAUUGGGCGUACAGGGUGCGUAGGUGGCGUGGUAAGUCUGGUGUGAAAUCCCGGGGCUCAACCCCGGAACUGCACUGGAUACUGCCAUGCUUGAGUACUGGAGAGGAGAUUGGAAUUUACGGUGUAGCAGUGAAAUGCGUAGAUAUCGUAAGGAAGACCAGUGGCGAAGGCGAAUCUCUGGACAGUUACUGACACUGAGGCACGAAGGCCAGGGGAGCAAACGGG
rnacentral:rRNA from 1 species